rnacentral:pre_miRNA from 1 species
AUUUGGCUCUGAAAUCUUGCUGUGUAUAUUGAAAUCCAGCAAGUUUCAGAGCCUUCUG